rnacentral:rRNA from 1 species
UUUUAUGGAGAGUUUGAUCCUGGCUCAGGAUGAACGCUGGCGGCGUGCCUAAUACAUGCAAGUCGAGCGAACAGACGAGGAGCUUGCUCCUCUGACGUUAGCGGCGGACGGGUGAGUAACACGUGGAUAACCUACCUAUAAGACUGGGAUAACUUCGGGAAACCGGAGCUAAUACCGGAUAAUAUAUUGAACCGCAUGGUUCAAUAGUGAAAGACGGUUUUGCUGUCACUUAUAGAUGGAUCCGCGCCGCAUUAGCUAGUUGGUAAGGUAACGGCUUACCAAGGCAACGAUGCGUAGCCGACCUGAGAGGGUGAUCGGCCACACUGGAACUGAGACAAGGUCCAGACUCCUACGGGAGGCAGCAGUAGGGACUCUUCCGCACUGGGCGAA